AAUCUAUCUGCCUCGACUCCUCGUCGCCCCACCUCAAAAAGAAAAGAAAAAAAAACUCCUCCUCUCCCCGACCUCUUCUCUUCUGUCCGCCUGCAGGACUUGCGCCCGCACGCGCUUGACCGCCGGCGGGUGAAGGAGUCGGGGCCGGAUCCGGCGGCUUGUCGCCGCGCUUAUGGAUCCAGACCGCAUCCAUCGCGACUGGGUGGUGCCUGCGGCCCCAUCUCGAUUCCCGCCGUGUCACUGACCCAGGCCUCCGGCCUCGACCUUAAUUCCUUCCUGUUCCUCCCUAUCAAGCAGGUCGUCGCCUCCUGUGGCAUCGUCUAUCAUAUCUAGCCAUAUCGUCCGCCGGUGGUGCCACCAGAUUAAGCGUCCACAUGUGCGGUGUGAUUGCCGUCCUAGAUGGCUUCCGCACAUCCAUGCCUUGCCUACAGGUACAGCCAGCCUUUUCCCAUUCGCAAUAUGCCUAGGCUAGAGAUGGAGGCCUUUCCCAUGCGAGAAUCACCAAAGACAUGGCUAUGAUUAUGGUAGAUACACUGGAUUUAAUAUGUGAGUUCCAUAGUAUACAUAUUUUUUCUACUUGUCCUAGGAAUUCCAAAUAAAUUCAGAAUUCUCUUAUUUAUUAUAUGUAUGGUUUAAUUGCUUUUCGAAGUGCACAUUGUAUGUUGGUGAUGCGUUUUUAAUUGAAUUCUUUCUCUUUUAGACUUUUACUGGAUUGAGCAGAACAAAAAAGAAUAGACGUUUUUGUUUAGUUUAUUUAUAAAAGAGAAAGGAACUUGGAAGGCGAUUCAGUUUUGUCAUAGGAAUUGAUGCUAAGUAUCUUGUGCAUUUAACUUUGAGGGGAAACUGCACCCAUCCAAAUUCAAGAAUCAAUUAUCUAACCAGGUUUACUAAACAUAUAUGCAUUUCUCUUAUUUAUUUUGCAUAUUCAUUACUAUUUUGUGAUUUGGUUGUGAUAACCAACGGGAGGAAGAAGAUCGCCUCCAGCAUUCUGAGACCUCAAGGCAACUCAAGAGCAGAUCGCCAAUGGAAGCUACACCAUCCUGCUCCAGCCGGAUUUGGAGGCCGGCGCACCAUGAUUCACCAAGGGCACCGUCGUGAGCACACUGGAGGUUCGGGAGCGCGUGAUGACCAUCAUGUCCAAGAUACUGCAGCUCGAGGACACCAUAGCCGUCCAGAGCAAUGAUAUCUUGGAUUGAAAUCUGCAGAAGGCCAUGAUAGGAAACCGGUUAACUCCGUGGAAGUACAUCCUCUCCUCCUCUGAUGUUGAUGUGAAAUCUCCUUCUGCAAGGUAACUAGACAAUCAAUUCCUACAAAUUUGCAAGCUUUGUUUCUCUCAAGUCUUCCACUCAACCCCAGACAAUACUUCAUUGAAUCUGUGAAUUUUCUCCUGAACUGAUAGAUGCAGUUGCAGGUCAAAACAUUGUGAUAUGAGGUAAUGGAAAUAUUUAUGGAGGAAAUUUACUUUUAAACAUCGUAUAGGUUAUCUUUAUCUAAAUCAUGUGGUCCUUUUUCAGUUAUGAGUUGCAGUAGUACUACAUGAAGAUUAUAAAUUAGGUACGAUUGUUUUUGCUUUCUAAUUCAUGAGUACAAGCGUACAAAAUCAGUAUCUAUUUUCACCAUGUCAUGGCACGGCAACCGUGGGGCGAAUAUGAUUGAACCUUAUAAGCUGGCCUCAAGAACAUAAACACUGGUUCCAUUUUAUUUUCCCGGACCUCAUAAAUACUCAUUUUGCUUAUAACAGUUCCGAGGUAUGACACAAAGAUUAAGCAGAAAGCAAUGCUUGCUACAGAUUUCUGUAACUGUCUUACUUUAGAACGUCUAGCCCUUUGUAUAUAUUUCCUAGAGAUAAAAAAACCUAAUCGCUCUAGCUGGGCUUAAAUUUAGGACAUUCUUUUUGGUUGUUGAAUAAGGUUUCACAACAGUGGUAGAGAUAGUUUGAACUUGCAAUAGCUUUGUGUCAGAUGAAAAACAACAACACAAGAAGCGAGCAUGUCAAUCAUGGGUAUUGUUAUUGUUCAACUUUUCCAAUAGCGUUGCAGAAAACAUGGUUGUUGCCAAUUGAACGAAUGUUAUGUUUUCAAAGAGAAUUCAAGUUCGUCUUUUAUGUAUUUAUAUGUGCUGAUGCAAUAAAAUUUGAUUGAAUCUUCUUUGAAAUUUAUUUCAGUACUAAUGCAUAACUAAGUAAUGAUAUCUAGCUUGAGCAGCUCAACUACGACGCACUGGAUACACGCUAGGUAUACUGACAUCUUACGCAUAUCUUCGCUUUUAUUUCAGUUAUCACUUUUGGUGUAGAACUCUUUGUCUUCCAUUUUAUACAUGAUGUUAUUUUGCUAUAUCAGUUAUGUUGUCCUAACCGGAUAGUUAUCUUUUCUGUAAACGACACAGGUGGUUGCUGAUUGGUUGACAUUUUAAUUUGGACCUUACUUAAUUCGUACAAGUGUAGUGACACCAUUUUCCAUGUUGGUUUGUUUUGGCAAGCAUUUUCAUGUAUAAAAUGGAAUUGUCAGUUUGCCACUUUAUUACAUAUAGCUUUCAGCCUGAUUGAUCUUUAACAAAACACCAAACAAAAAGGAAAAGUAUGAUUACCGCAUAUCCCUGCUACUGCUUGUAUGGUAGUAUUUAGUAUAUAUCAUUAUUUGAUAUUGCAACUAAUUUAAUUCUUGUUAGGUUGUUUGCCCUAUGAAUGUGAUGCCCUCCACAAGAAACAGCCAGCUGCAUUAGGCAGACAUAAAUCUUCUUUGUUUCGGAACAUGGUGGCCUUUUGGUAGAGGCAUGUGAAGAUUCCAUUUACUCAUGAUGUAUACAAUCUACUCCAUCCGUUCCUAAAUAUAAGUUUUUUUUAAGAAAUAUUAAUGUAAACUACAUACGAAUGUAUAUAGACAUAGUUUAGAGCGUAGAUUCAUACAUUUUGCUCCAUAUGUAGUCCAUAUUGGAAUCUUUAAAAAGGGCUAAUAUUUAUAAACAAAAGGAGUAUUUCUUAUUGCCUAUUAUUUGUACUGAUUAGUUGUAUUUACUAUCUAUAUUGUUCUGUAUGUUGUUAUACCAAGCCAAUAUGUAUAUGUGACCUUGCCUUUACGGAGUAUAUAUAUGAGAUUUUCUUGGAUUACCGACUAAUGUAUGUUUAUGUGUAAAUUCAGUAUAUUUUGUGUGGUCAUUUAUUAUCAAAAUACCUAUCAUUUCAUUGUAGAAAUAGAUAGGCGCAACAACUAAUGCAUGGUUAUGUUUAGGUAAAUUCAAUAUAUUUCAUGUGGUCAUUUAUUU
rnacentral:rRNA from 1 species